UCAGAGAAAGUAAAAGAAAAAGCGAAGGAUGUAAUUGAUACAACGAAGAGUAAAAAGAAUGAAAUGGAACAAAAAAUGGAGCAAGUGAAAGGAGAAAUAUCUGAGAAAGCAGAAGAAGGGAAAGAAGAUAUGAAAGAUAUUAUCGUGCGAGGACGUGAUUUCUUUCGUGAUGUAUUUACUUACAGAUUUUCGUUUGGUAAUUUGCGUCAUGUGAUGCGUUUGAUGCAUUUAUUGGGGUUUUCUGUGGCUUAUGGGAUGUGUAUUUGGGUCACAUUUAUUUCGAGUUACGUGUUAGCUAGAGUAUUGCCAAGGCAG
rnacentral:misc_RNA from 1 species